GAAGUUUUGUUACGCGAUUUUCUGUGCUUUAUCUCAAGUAUUAAUAAUGUUAAUUAGUGCAUUUUCGGAAAGUAUUUUUUUUACCGAUAAUUUAGAUUUAGACAAUUUUUCGGUGGCAGAAGUGUUUGCUUUUUUUCAAUGGGGUUUUCCAGCGGAAACUUCACAGAGAUUUCUUGGUGAGUUUACCCUUUGAUUAAUAAUCUAUAUCAGGAUUACCCCUCAGUAUGACUCAAAAAUCCCAUUUAUUUAUUUAAAAUUGUGUAAAUGCAUGUUGACUGAUAUUUCUUUUAAAAAUUUUCAAGUCAAACUGGGCCAAUGACGAACUUAAAGGCAGAAGUCUAAAAAGGCCAAUUCGGAAGAUGUCUCAGGAAAUGUUCAAGCUUCAUUAUGACCGAAAUUGAAAAAGCACGAGAUUUCUAUCAUUAUCAUCAUCAUUUUCAACCGAUUAUUCCUUUGGGCUCGUAGAAAUAUUGACCAAGAUGAGGAAAAUGCUUUAAUUGAUGGCCUAAGGAAAUUUCCAGCCGUGAGAACAAAUGGAAAAGAGGUGGAAAAAAUUUGUUUCCUUCAAUAAAUUGGGAAAAGAUUUCUCAAUAUAUAAUUUCCCAUUGGAAAAUUCCGAAAAGGAAUAAAAUCCCACC